AUCGUGAUAGGAGAAAGUUUGGAAGAGAUUCGGAGAGUAGUCGAUUACUGUAGAAAAUCGGCUGAUAGUGAAGCCCAGAGAGCAUUUGGAGAAGCCCAGAGAGCAUUUAGAGCAGUCCGAUAGACGACUGAAGGAGCUCAUUAUUGGAAAAGUCUAGAGGGUACGAUAGGAGUUCGUCUAUUGGAGGAAUCCAGAGGACACUAUGGAAGGUCGAACGGCCGGGGGAGUUCAGAAAGACGUCGCACAAGGUCGGAAGCCGGAAGAGUCCUAGGAGGGUUGGCCUUUUACGAACUUUGGCUGGGGUUAUUUUAUACCCAACACUUUCGAAGAGAAAAAGACCACAUACAAGAUGUGGAAAGAGGACAGUGUGACUGUCAAAUGUAUUAUGCUUGCCUCGAUGAGCAAUGAGCUUUCGAGGCAGCAUGAGGAUAUAGAUGUUCUCUCUAUACUUUUUAAUCUUGAGUUAUAUGGAAAAUAAAGUAUAAUUGCUAGAUAUAAGAUAUCUAAGCAGUUGUUCUGUGCCCGC
rnacentral:lncRNA from 1 species